UGCUUUUCACUGUUGUAGCAGAAAUGCUAAGUCAUGGCCUGAACCAGUGAUUGAGCACCUGGUGGGAAGGUAGGGCCAACCCAGGGGAGCUCAGCUGCAUGUGGAGCACCUGAGUGAUUGGAAGGCAUGGAGCCAGGAUCCACCCCUUCCCAGACUUCAUUUAAGGGUUAGCAGUGGAGGUGAGGAUAUCUUGUUGGAGGUUACUGCUUACUGAAGGUCUUCACAAGUGUAUGCUGGUGGAACAAUACCAAGUUAUCUCUCAAACUUCCAAAGCUGGCUGGAGCUGGAUGUGAGGUUUUUACAAGGUAACCACCAAAAGCAGUAAAGUGAAAGCUACAGAACUGGCAGACAUCGGUAUCUAAUAGCUGGUGUCCUUCCUCCUUUCCUGCUGUUACAUAUGCUCUGUGAAAUGGUGUCAAUGAACAGAAGACAACCAAGCCUGCUUUUUCUUUUCCCAACUCAUCAUACAGUGUACCUUGUC
rnacentral:lncRNA from 1 species